GCCCCCGUAGCUCAGUGGCAGAGCUGCCGACUCUUAAUCGGUAGGUCGAUGGUUCGAGUCCAUCCGGGGGCACC
rnacentral:tRNA from 1 species